rnacentral:rRNA from 1 species
AAAGAAAGAGGGGGGCAUGCCUAACACAUGCAAGUCGAACGAGGCCUUCGGGUCUAGUGGCGCACGGGUGCGUAACGCGUGGGAACCUGCUCUUAGGUUCGGAAUAACUCCCCGAAAGGGGUGCUAAUACCGGAUAAUGUCUUCGGACCAAAGAUUUAUCGCCUUUGGAUGGGCCCGCGUUGGAUUAGCUAGUUGGUAGGGUAAAAGCCUACCAAGGCGACGAUCCAUAGCUGGUCUGAGAGGAUGAUCAGCCACACUGGGACUGAGACACGGCCCAGACUCCUACGGGAGGCAGCAGUGGGGAAUAUUGGACAAUGGGCGAAAGCCUGAUCCAGCAAUGCCGCGUGAGUGAUGAAGGCCUUAGGGUUGUAAAGCUCUUUUACCCGGGAUGAUAAUGACAGUACCGGGAGAAUAAGCUCCGGCUAACUCCGUG